rnacentral:sRNA from 1 species
UUGAUAACCCUGGAGACUGAAGUCCUCUCUUUACCCACAGAACAAGUGUGCCAUUGCAGUGGUGAUACAAGUUUCGGUACAUUGCUCUGAUGCUGUCUUAGUGCUGGUCUGGAGUUGGCACCAAAGGGGUGAGAGGCUAGUUCUUUUUAUAUACCUGUUAAAUCUGCUGAGAU